rnacentral:rRNA from 1 species
CAGCCGCCACGGGAAUACGUAGGGUGCGAGCGUUAAUCGGAAUUACUGGGCGUAAAGCGUGCGCAGGCGGUUAUGUAAGACAGGUGUGAAAUCCCCGGGCUUAACCUGGGAACUGCGCUUGUGACUGCACAGCUAGAGUAUGGCAGAGGGGGGUGGAAUUCCACGUGUAGCAGUGAAAUGCGUAGAGAUGUGGAGGAACACCGAUGGCGAAGGCAGCCCCCUGGGCCAAUACUGACGCUCAUGCACGAAAGCGUGGGGAGCAACCAGGAUUAGAUACCCCAGUAGUCCCUGUCUCUUAUAA